rnacentral:rRNA from 1 species
GAUGAACGCUGGCGGCGUGCCUAAUACAUGCAAGUCGAGCGAACGGACGAGAAGCUUGCUUUUCUGAUGUUAGCGGCGGACGGGUGAGUAACACGUGGAUAACCUACCUAUAAGACUGGGAUAACUUCGGGAAACCGGAGCUAAUACCGGAUAAUAUUUUGAACCGCAUGGUUCAAAAGUGAAAGACGGUCUUGCUGUCACUUAUAGAUGGAUCCGCGCUGCAUUAGCUAGUUGGUAAGGUAACGGCUUACCAAGGCAACGAUGCAUAGCCGACCUGAGAGGCGGGUCGGCCACACUGGAACUGAGACACGGUCCAGACUCCUACGGGAGGCAGCAGUAGGGAAUCUUCCGCAAUGGGCGAAAGCCUGACGGAGCAACGCCGCGUGAGUGAUGAAGGUCUUCGGAUCGUAAAGCUCUGUUAUUAGGGAAGAACAGAUGUGUAAGGAACUGUGCACAUCUUGACGGUACCUAAUCAGAAAGCCACGGCUAACUACGUG